rnacentral:lncRNA from 1 species
AGUCUUUCAGGGAGACCCUGAUUUAUGGCAGAGACAAACUCUAGUUCGAAGAUGUGAAGGGUCAUUUGUUGAGUAGAGACAAACUCGACAAUGAGUUUGGUUUGAAUAGCAAAGCAGAUAGACAAGCUUCCGUUUUGGUAGCAUCAAAGAAACGAGACAAAAGGUGUCGCUAUUGUAAAAAGUUAGGUCACGUCAAAGCAGAUUGUUAUAAACUGCGAAAUAAAAGAGUUGCUGAGAGUAACGAGGAAGAUGUAGCUGGUGCUAAUUUGGUCGAUGAAGGUGGUGAUGAUUUCUUGUUAGUGUCAACGAGCGAUAAAUCCAAGCUUACGUCUGAGUGGAUCCUAGAUUCAGGAUGUUCUUUCCACAUGUGUCC